AGGGUUUGAUCCUGGCUCAGGAUGAACGCUGGCGGCGUGCUUAACACAUGCAAGUCGAACGGGAUCCAUCAGGCUUUGCUUGGUGGUGAGAGUGGCGAACGGGUGAGUAAUGCGUGACCGACCUGCCCCAUACACCGGAAUAGCUCCUGGAAACGGGUGGUAAUGCCGGAUGCUCCAGCCUUCCGCAUGGUGGGCCGGGAAAGAUUUCAUCGGUAUGGGAUGGGGUCGCGUCCUAUCAGGUAGUCGGCGGGGUAACGGCCCACCGAGCCUACGACGGGUAGCCGGCCUGAGAGGGCGACCGGCCACAUUGGGACUGAGAUACGGCCCAG
rnacentral:rRNA from 1 species